GGGUUGUGAGGUUAAGCGACUAAGCGUACACGGUGGAUGCCCUGGCAGUCAGAGGCGAUGAAGGGCGUGCUAAUCUGCGAUAAGCGCCGGUAAGGU
rnacentral:rRNA from 2 species